AAGACACUAGUAAAACAGAUAUUACACUGCCUUGUCAAGGCCAUGUUGUGGGUUGAACCCCCACGUGUCUUG
rnacentral:tRNA from 1 species